UGCGGAGAGUAGAAUCAUGGAGGCCGCCACAUUGUUUAUGAAACUUAAAGCGUUUGGUUGUGAGCCUAAUGUCAUUACAUACACCACUUUGAUUAAUGGAUUGUGUCGAACAGGCCAUACAAUUGUUGCUCUAAAUUUAUUUGAAGAGAUGGCUAAUGGAAAUGGGGAAUUUGCUGUUGUUUGUAAGCCAGACACUGCUACAUACAGUACUAUUAUCGAUGGUCUUUGUAAGGAAGGUUUUGUGGACAAGGCCAAGGAACUGUUUCUGCAGAUGAAGGAUAACAAUAUUAACCCUAACAUGGUUACCUAUACCUCUGUGAUUCGUGGUUUUUGUUAUGCUAAUGAUUGGAAUGAGACCAAGUGUUUGCUAAUUGAGAUGAUGGACCAAGGGGUACAGCCUAAUGUUGUGACUUUCAAUGUCAUCAUGGAUGAGCUCUGCAAGAAUGGAAAGAUGGAUGAGGCAAGUCGGUUGUUGGACCUGAUGAUUCAGUUUGGUGUGCGUCCAAAUGCUUUUGUCUAUAACACAUUAAUGGACGGGUUUUGCUUGACGGGUAGAGUUAAUCGUGCGAAGGAACUAUUUGUUUCUAUGGAGAGUAUGGGUUGCAAACAUACUGUUUUUAGUUAUAGUAUUUUGAUAAAUGGUUACUGCAAGAAUAAGGAAAUAGAGGGAGCGUUAACCCUUUAUAGCGAAAUGCUCUCUAAAGGAAUUAAGCCAGAUGUUGUUAUAUAUAACACCUUGUUUAUUGGCCUUUUUGAAAUACACCAGGUUGAGCGUGCUUUCAAGCUGUUUGAUGAGAUGCAAUGUGAUGGCGUGGCAGCUGAUACCUGGGCAUAUACAACCUUUAUUGAUGGGCUCUGCAAGAAUGGUUAUAUUGUAGAGGCAGUUGAACUAUUUCGUACUUUGAGAAUUCUCAAGUGUGAACUUGAUAUUCGAGCCUACAACUGCCUCAUUGAUGGAUUAUGUAAAUCCGGCAGACUCGAAAUUGCAUGGGAACUGUUUCUGAAGAUGAAGGAUGAGAAUAUUAACCCCAAUGUGGUUACUUAUACCUCUUUGAUUCACGGUUUUUGUUACGCUAAUGAUUGGAAUGAGGCGAAGUGUUUGUUUAUUGAGAUGAUGGACCAAGGGGUACAACCUAAUGUUGUGACUUUCAAUGUGAUCAUGGAUGAGCUCUGCAAGAAUGGAAAGAUGGAUAAAGCAAGUCGGUUGCUGGACCUGAUGAUUCAGAUUGGUGUGCGUCCAGAUGCUUCUGUCUAUAACACAUUAAUGGAUGGGUUUUGCUUGACGGGUAGAGUUAACCGUGCGAAGGAACUAUUUGUUUCUAUGGAGAGUAUGGGUUGCAAACAUAAUGUUUUUAGUUACAGUAUUUUGAUAAAUGGUUACUGCAAGAAUAAGGAAAUAGAGGAAGCGUUAAGCCUUUAUAGCGAAAUGCUCUCUAAAGGAAUUAAGCCAACAGUUGUUACAUAUAGCACCUUGUUUCUUGGACUUUUUGAAAUACACCAGGUUCAGCAUGCUUUAAAACUGUUUGAUGAGAUGCAGCGUAAUCAUGUGGCAGCUAAUACAUAUAUAUAAACUACCUUUAUUGACGGGCUCUGCAAGAAUGGUUUUGUUCUAGAGGCACUGGAAUUAUUCCGUGCUAUAAGAAAUAGCAAGUAUGAGCUUAAUAUCGUAUCCUACAACUGCCUCAUUGAUGGAUUGUGUAAAAUAGGCAAACUGGAAACUGCUUGGGAACUGUUUCAAAGUUUGCCUCGUGUAGGCCUAAUGGCAGAUGUUGUAACAUACAACAUCAUGAUCCAUGGGCUUUGUAAUGAUGGGCAAAUGGACAAGGCACAUGAUUUGUUUCUUGAUAUGGAAGCAAAAGGUGUGGAACCCGAUUGUGUCAUAUUUAAUAUGAUUAUGCUGGGUUUCAUCCGCAAUAAUGAGACAUCAAAAGUUAUUGAACUCCUUCACAGAAUGGAUAAGAGAAAUGUAAUGCCAGACGCAUCUAUACUUUCAAUUGUUGUGGACUUGCUUGUAAAGAAUGAAAUUAGCUUAAACUCGAUUCCACAAUUCAAGAGUCAAAGGUAAGUGAGUUUAAUACUGAUUUAGCCACAUGUUUCUUCUGCCUGAAAACCCAACCUGGAGGAUCCCAUUCUUAUUACAACAUGUAAAGGAGUGUUGUCUAAUAUAGGCAUGUUCCUAGGUUCUGUCCAUGGAUUCUGUUUGCAGACAUGGCUAACUUCUUGUUCAACAGAAAGUUUUAAAGUCUUUCAACUUUAUGUUGUAAAAUAACUUUUUUAUUAUUCAAUUCAUGAGUUUUUCUUCUAUAACACAUCCUUCUCAUUAGCUGGAAGUGCAAAUUUUUUAGGCUUUUCCUGUAUGGCCUCUUUCUCUGCUCUAAAUAAA
rnacentral:lncRNA from 1 species